rnacentral:rRNA from 1 species
UAAGGGAAUCUUCGGCAAUGGACGAAAGUCUGACCGAGCAACGCCGCGUGAGUGAAGAAGGUUUUCGGAUCGUAAAACUCUGUUGUUAGAGAAGAACAAGGGUGAGAGUAACUGUUCACCCCUUGACGGUAUCUAACCAGAAAGCCACGGCUAACUACGUGCCAG